GACGAACGCUGGCGGCGUGCUUAACACAUGCAAGUCGAACGGAAAGGCCCUUCGGGGUACUCGAGUGGCGAACGGGUGAGUAACACGUGGGUGAUCUGCCCUGCACUUUGGGAUAAGCCUGGGAAACUGGGUCUAAUACCGAAUAUGAUCAUCGGCUUCAUGGUCGGUGGUGGAAAGCUUUUGCGGUGUGGGAUGGGCCCGCGGCCUAUCAGCUUGUUGGUGGGGUAAUGGCCUACCAAGGCGACGACGGGUAGCCGGCCUGAGAGGGUGAGCGGCCACACUGGGCCUGAGAUACGGACCAGACUCCUACGGGAGGCAGCAGUGGGGAGUAUUGCACAAUGGGCGCAAGCCUGAUGCAGCGACGCCGCGUGAGGGAUGACGUCCUUCGGGUUGUAAACCUCUUUCAGCGCAGACGAAGCGCAAGUGACGGUAUGUGCAGAAGAAGGACCGGCCAACUACGUG
rnacentral:rRNA from 1 species